rnacentral:rRNA from 1 species
GAUGAACGCUGACAGAAUGCUUAACACAUGCAAGUCAACUGUGGCGGACGGGUGAGUAACGCGUAAAGAACUUGCCUCACGGAUAGGGACAACAUUUGGAAACGAAUGCUAAUACCAGAUACUGUGAGAGAGCUUUGCGUCCCAUUAGCUAGUUGGAGAGGUAACGGCGCACCAAGGCGAGGAUGGGUAGCCGGCCUGAGAGGGUGAUCUGCCACAAGGGGACUGAGACACGGCCCUUACUCCUACUGGAGGAAGCAGUGGGGAAUAAUAGACAAUGGACCAAAGUCUGAUCCGGAAAUUCUGUGUGCACGAUGAAGUUUUCGGAAUGUAAAGUGCUUUCAGUUGGGAAGCGGUACCAACAGAAGAAGUGACGGCUAAAUACGUGCCAGCAGCCGCGGUAAUAC